UCCGCUCCCUGCCUCCUGCUGGCGCCGCGGCUGCGGGAGGGACCUGGCCUUGGUCUCGGAGGAAGGCGGGGCUGGCUGCAGAGGAGGCUGUGCCAGGCACAGUGACCUCAGAAGCUCUUUGGUGACUUCACAGCCGCAGGGCCAGGACCUGUGCCAUCCUGGAAUUUCAAGGUCUCAGCAGGUAACACCGGCCAAGAACCGCACUUGCAGCAGCUGUCAGAUGGAUUAGGCAGCACAGACAGCAGCAGGGUGUGUGAUCCCAGGGGACAGAAGCAUCUCUCAGCAAGCAGCCAUCUUCUGCAGACUCUGGGAUUUUUCAAGAGUGAACACACUGGCAACAAAGGAGUCUUCCUACGUGAGGCCUUUGUCAAAGGAAGGGCUACAAAGUGACCAUUCAGCUCCUGGGGUUGAGAGCAAAGGGCCAUGCUAAGCAGGAAGGUGUUCACAAAUACCACCAUGGAUUAGCUGGCUGCAGGGGACACCUACAGUGCAUCAUGUCACCGGGAGUAAGGACCUGUGCCCACAUACUGAGAAGGGAGGAAAAGCCUUCCAGUCAGUCUAAGAACACAGGUAACUUAACCAGCUUCAACAAGAGCCCAAAGUCUUUUGCCCUGAGCAGCAAACAGAGGGGUCCAAGCUCCACCCCCUCUGCUCUCCCACUACAGGACUGGAGAGAACAUGGGACCAAGCAACCCUCAAACUGCAUGGUGGCAGAGCUGACAAUGCUUCAGAGGUCACCUGUCCACAUCCCAGCGGCUCGGACCUCUGCCUAGGAGGGUGGGAGCUCAGCAACAUUUCACUUCCUUAGUUGGAUGCGGCUCAGGGCCCUCUUCACAGCACCCAGAGCUGCAGUUCCUACCGGCUCCCAACUCCCCAGAUGCCCUGCUGGUGGCUAACUCAGAGCAGGUGUCUUUUAGCUAGUCCUUUCUGGAAGCAGGUACAAGAAUACUCACACAAACCGAGCUGGCUCAACCCAGGCAAGAAUACACAGGUCGGGAUGGGGGCCUGGCCUUUUACGCAGCUGCCUAGUGCCAGGACAGAGCCUACAGGCUCUCGGACAAAUGACUGAUAAGGCCAAGUCCUUAACCACAGCUAGUUUACUGAGCAUUCGUGAAAAGGUAUCUACUAUGAGUAUUUACUCCAUCCGUCCCAGUCCAUCCCAGUCCAUCCCAGUCCAUCCCAAUCCAUCCCAAUCCAUCUAUCCAUCCAUCCAUCCAUCCAAUCUAUCUAUCUAAUCUAUCUUUUGUAUUGGCAGGGUCUCACUAUGGUGCUCAGCCUAGUCUUGAAUUCCUGGGUUCAAAUGAUUCUCUGACCAAGGCCAAGCCUCCCAAAGUGCUGGAUUACAGGCAUGAGCAACCAUGUCCAACCCAUUAUUUCAUUUUAACCCAAACUUACGGGGGCCUGAAUCAUUUUUCUCCCUUUAAAAACAGGAUAAAAUAACUGAGCUCAGAAGGGAAGUGAUUUUUCCAAGUCAGACAGCUAGGACUGCAAAGCUACGACUGAAACCCAGGUCUGACCAAAGAUAAUAUACUCAUCUUUCUUCCUGAUAAGGGGUGGGCAACUCAGAAAUUGGUUCAUGGACCACCACAUAACCUCCAACGGGAGUAAAGCACACAGCUUCUACCUAUAACUGAAAAAAGAGGCUCUCAUGUGACCCCUAGAUGUGAGAAAGGAAGCAGCGUGCCACCCUGGGAGGUGCUGUCAGCCAUUUUGCCACCGUUAGGGAAGCUGGCCAGAGAACAAAGCUAACAUGCAGAAGGAAGCAACGGGAACAAACCACGGGGAAAUAGAGCUGGAACCUUGAUCAGGCUGCACCUGAAGGCUGAUUUUCCACUAGGCUUUUCCAUAUACAGUUGUUCCUUGUUAUUCCUUUUUGUCUGCAGGGCAUUGGUUCCAGGAUCGCCACCCACUUACCACCCCACCAAUACCAAGUCCUUGGAUGCUCAAGUCCCUUACAUAAAAUGUAGCAGCACAGCUGAUCCUUGAACACACGCAUGAACUGCACAGGUCCACUCAUAUGCAAAUUAUCUCCUGCCUCUGCUGCCCUACACAGCAAGACAGCCCCU